rnacentral:rRNA from 1 species
CGUACAAACGUUGCACGUAUCGGAUAUUGGGCGUAAGAGCUCGUAGGCGGUUUGUCGCGUCUGCUGUGAAAGACCGGGGCUCAACUCCGGUUCUGCAGUGGGUACGGGCAGACUAGAGUGCAGUAGGGGAGACUGGAAUUCCUGGUGUAGCGGUGAAAUGCGCAGAUAUCAGGAGGAACACCGAUGGCGAAGGCAGGUCUCUGGGCUGUAACUGACGCUGAGGAGCGAAAGCAUGGGGAGCGAACAGGAUUAGAUACCCUGGUAGUCCAUGCCGUAAACGUUGGGCACUAGGUGUGGGGGACAUUCCACGUUUUCCGCGCCGUAGCUAACGCAUUAAGUGCCCCGCCUGGGGAGUACGGCCGCAAGGCUAAAACUCAAAGGAAUUGACGGGGGCCCGCACAAGCGGCGGAGCAUGCGGAUUAAUUCGAUGCAACGCGAAGAACCUUACCAAGGCUUGACAUGAACCGGUAAUACCUGGAAACAGGUGCCCCGCUUGCGGUCGGUUUACAGGUGGUGCAUGGUUGUCGUCAGCUCGUGUCGUGAGAUGUUGGGUUAAGUCCCGCAACGAGCGCAACCCUCGUUCUAUGUUGCCAGCGCGUUAUGGCGGGGACUCAUAGGAGACUGCCGGGGUCAACUCGGAGGAAGGUGGGGACGACGUCAAAUCAUCAUGCCCCUUAUGUCUUGGGCUUCACGCAUGCUACAAUGGCCGGUACAAAGGGUUGCGAUACUGUGAGGUGGAGCUAAUCCCAAAAAGCCGGUCUCAGUUCGGAUUGGGGUCUGCAACUCGACCCCAUGAAGUCGGAGUCGCUAGUAAUCGCAGAUCAGCAACGCUGCGGUGAAUACGUUCCCGGGCCUUGUACACACCGCCCGUCAAGUCACGAAAGUUGGUAACACCCGAAGCCGGUGGCCUAACCCUUGUGGGGGGAGCCGUCGAAGGUGGGACCGGCGAUUGGACUAAGUCGUACC